GAUAAACGCUGGCGGCGUGCUUAACACUUGCCAGUCGAACGAAGUUUUUCUUUCGGGAGGAACUUAGUGGCGGACGGGUGAGUAACGCGUGGGUAACCUGCCCUGUACAGGGGGACAACAGCUGGAAACGGCUGCUAAUACCGCAUAAGCCCUUAGCACUGCAUGGUGCAUAGGGAAAAGGAGCAAUCCGGUACAGGAUGGACCCGCGUCUGAUUAGCCAGUUGGCAGGGUAACGGCCUACCAAAGCGACGAUCAGUAGCCGAUCUGAGAGGAUGUACGGCCACAUUGGGACUGAGACACGGCCCAGACUCCUACGGGAGGCAGCAGUGGGGAAUAUUGCACAAUGGAGGAAACUCUGAUGCAGCGACGCCGCGUGAGUGAAGAAGUAUUUCGGUAUGUAAAGCUCUAUCAGCAGGAAAGAAAAUGACGGUACCUGACUAAGAAGCACCGGCUAAAUACGUG
rnacentral:rRNA from 1 species